CAGUCGCCGCGGUAAUACGUAGGUCCCGAGCGUUGUCCGGAUUUAUUGGGCGUAAAGCGAGCGCAGGCGGUUAGAUAAGUCUGAAGUUAAAGGCUGUGGCUUAACCAUAGUACGCUUUGGAAACUGUUUAACUUGAGUGCAAGAGGGGAGAGUGGAAUUCCAUGUGUAGCGGUGAAAUGCGUAGAUAUAUGGAGGAACACCGGUGGCGAAAGCGGCUCUCUGGCUUGUAACUGACGCUGAGGCUCGAAAGCGUGGGGCGCAAACAGGAUUAGAUACCCCGGUAGUCCCUGUCUCUUAUACA
rnacentral:rRNA from 1 species